GAAAUGCGAUAAGUAAUGUGAAUUGCAGAAUUCAGUGAAUCAUCGAAUCUUUGAACGCACCUUGCGCUCCUUGGUAUUCCUUGGAGCAUGCCUGUUUGAGUAUCAUGAAAUCUUCAAAGUAAAUCUUUUGUUAACUCAAUUGGUUUCUACUUUGGUAUUGGAGGUCUUUGCAGCUUCACACCUGCUCCUCUUUGUUCAUUAGCUGGAUCUCAGUGUUAUGCUUGGUUCCACUCGGCGUGAUAAGUUAUCUAUCGCUGAGGACACUGUAAAAGGUGGCCAAGGUAAAAUGCAGAUGAACCGCUUCUAAUAGUCCAUUGACUUGGACAAUACUUUUAUGAUCUGAUCUCAAAUCAGGUAGGACUACCCGCUGAACUUAAGC
rnacentral:misc_RNA from 1 species